rnacentral:tRNA from 1 species
GAGGGUGUAGCUCAGUGGUAGAGCACAUGCUUAGCAAUCAUAAGGUUCUGGGUUCAACACCCAGUACCUCCU